GUUAUUUGCAAACCAUAUUCAGACAAAGUCAACCACAGUUGUUUGGAAUUGGGUUACCUCUGACUAGGUAACAUGUGCAAUCGCCUUGUGAUCAAAGAGGUCCCUACACUUACUUGCAACCAAGUAACCAAAUGCAAAAAAACUGGAAACUACUUGUAACCCAGUGAGUUUACACGACUCAGUAAUGCACUACAACAUGUUAUUGUUAAUUGGGAUUUAUCAUUACUCUGUUAAUCACCGAGCUGAGCUAAAGUAAAUCAAUAGUAAAAUAUAAAUAAUAUAAAUAUAAGAAUAAAACCCCAAAGAGUAUAUUUAACACCCCUACUGGUUAGGAAGGAACAAGCCCCGCCUUCCCCUGCUCUGUACCCUCACGUGCUCAGACACAGAGAGAGACGGAGGUGCACGAGACCAUCGCUGAUUUUCACCGCCAAGCUUGUUGCUGGAAAAUAACUAUUAACUUGAUAAAUUGAGCAAAUAUCCAUACCGGAGAUCUGCAUGGACCUUGGAGAAACGGACCUGAUUUGUUGUGAACAUUUUGGACUUUGAAACCAUCGCGGCUAGGUUUUUUGGGGGGAUCGUGAGACCUGGAUUUCUUCCUGACGAGGAAGAUGGCGAGCCUUUCCCUUUGAACCGAACCACAGCCAUUCCGAGUUGGCCCAGAAGGGCAGGUUGCUCUUCUUUCACGAACAAUUGCAACAGUGCGGUAGGACAAAAUCGCACCAAUCACAGACUUUUGACCUAUUGGAUUUGACUUGACUGAACACUGACUAUUAAGCCGGCAAGACUGACAUAUCUGAGCUCAGAUAGGAUUCUGAUUGUUAUUAUUAAUGCUGUCACUGUAUUUUAUUUUUAUGUUUUCAUUCCUGUUUAUGAAGUGCUGUUAAAUUGUUUCUAAAUAGUUCAAUACAAUUCAAAGCAACUUUAUCUGUGGCUCCACUAGAGCUGGGCGAUAUGACCCAAAAUUCAUAUCUCGAUAUUUUUUUAGCUGGAUGGCGAUAUAAGAUAUAUAUCUCGAUAUUUUUUUAAAGCCAUAAAGUAAGAACAAAAAGAGAGUUCUUAGUUAAAGCUGUGUCCCAGAUGUCACACAGGCACUUUUAUUAACAUACAGCAUAGAUGUACAUGAAAAAAACUACUCAAAAAUAAAUUAU
rnacentral:lncRNA from 1 species